rnacentral:rRNA from 1 species
AAAAGGCGGCGUAAGCUGUCGCUAAGCGAUGGACCCGCGGUGCAUUAGCUAGUUGGUAAGGUAACGGCUUACCAAGGCGACGAUGCAUAGCCGAGUUGAGAGACUGAUCGGCCACAUUGGGACUGAGACACGGCCCAAACUCCUACGGGAGGCAGCAGUAGGGAAUCUUCCACAAUGGGCGAAAGCCUGAUGGAGCAACGCCGCGUGAGUGAAGAAGGUUUUCGGAUCGUAAAGCUCUGUUGUUGGUGAAGAAGGAUAGAGGUAGUAACUGGCCCCUAUUUGACGGUAAUCAACCAGAAAGUCACGGCUAACUACGUGCCAGCAGCCGCGGUAAUACGUAGGUGGCAAGCGUUGUCCGGAUUUAUUGGGCGUAAAGCGAGCGCAGGCGGAAAGAUAAGUCUGAUGUGAAAGCCCCCGGCUUAACCGAGGAAUUGCAUCGGAAACUGUGUUUCUUGAGUGCAGAAGAGGAGAGUGGAACUCCAUGUGUAGCGGUGGAAUGCGUAGAUAUAUGGAAGAACACCAGUGGCGAAGGCGGCUCUCUGGUCUGUAACUGACGCUGAGGCUCGAAAGCAUGGGUAGCGAACAGGAUUAGAUACCCUGGUAGUCCAUGCCGUAAACGAUGAGUGCUAAGUGUUGGGAGGUUUCCGCCUCUCA